AGCGAACGCUGGCGGCAGGCCUAACACAUGCAAGUCGAACGAAGUCUUCGGACUUAGUGGCGGACGGGUGAGUAACACGUGGGAACGUGCCUUUAGGUUCGGAAUAACUCAGGGAAACUUGUGCUAAUACCGAAUGUGCCCUUCGGGGGAAAGAUUUAUCGCCUUUAGAGCGGCCCGCGUCUGAUUAGCUAGUUGGUGAGGUAAAGGCUCACUAAGGAGACGAUCAGUAGCUGGUCUGAGAGGAUGAUCAGCCACAUUGGGACUGAGACACGGCCCAAACUCCUACGGGAGGCAGCAGUGGGGAAUCUUGCGCAAUGGGCGAAAGCCUGACGCAGCCAUGCCGCGUGAAUGAUGAAGGUCUUAGGAUUGUAAAAUUCUUUCACCGGGGACGAUAAUGACGGUACCCGGAGAAGAAGCCCCGGCUAACUUCGUGCCAGCCGCCGCAGUAACAC
rnacentral:rRNA from 1 species